CGCACUUUGGCUCGCGUUCCGCGCUGGAAGCUCCUCCGGCGUCACGUGUGAACCCCCGACCCGCAAGUUUCCCUCAAGUCGGGAAGGGGGCUUUCGACACUCGCUUUUCUAUAUAACACACCAAGCAGCACCAAGCAUCUGCGUUUCCUGGCUUCCCAGUCUUUUUAAAACCCAAGACUCUUCCCAUCUUCUCGAAAACUUCGUUGAGGGCGAAAUGUUCUUCCUGAGAAGCCGGAAAGGAUGUGGGGAAAAGACUGAAAUAGUCGCAGACGAGAUUAAAAUCGCUCUCCGCGCGUCCGUGUGUGUGUGUGUGGGAGUGUGUGGCGGCGUGCUGGGGCGGCUGUGUUAUUUUCCCAGCCCUGAGCCUCGUCUGAGCAGCUCGAUCGAUUCUCAUUGAUUGUCCCUGACGAGCUGCUCCACUUUCCAGCCAAUGUCAGCCUGUCUGCGUUCGGGAAAGAGAGAAAUUAAGGAAAAUCUCUGCCGCCCUGGCGGUGUCAUUUCCACACACUUCAGCUGGCAGGCGGCCAGGUGCCGGGCGAUAGGCAAGAGCCGGGCCGGAAUCUCCUCAGACUUCGGAUCCGGAGCCCACCGGAGGGAAAGGCACCCAAGCGCCAGCCCGGAGCCAAGAGGCCGCUUUAGGGGUUCAAGCCACCCACGAAUAUUGUCAGUUCUCCAGGAAUAGUCAUAUAGGAAUGCCAAGCAGUUGCAGCUUAAUGUUUCAUUUUGAAGCGCACUGAACUAUCCAGAAAAAAAAUAAGAAGAGGCAUCUACACAGAGGGUUAAAUGGUUAGCACAGCAGGUUAAACCGCCAGCUACACAAGAUCUUGCUGACUGGAAGGUUGACAGUUCAAGCCACGGGUGGGGUGAGUUCCCACUGUCAGCCUAGCUUCUGCCUACCUAGCAGUUCAAAAACAGCAUUGUGAGUAAAAAAAAUAGGUACCGCUUUAACGGGGAGGUAAAAAGUGCUCCUAAAAACAUGCCAGAGAUUCAAUCAACGGGCUCCUCAGCGUGGAAGAAUGGAACAACAGCACCUCCCCAGGCUGAAUCAAGCACAACCUCCAGAUGCCAGAAAUGAAAGAGGGCAGCCUACCUCUGUUUAUGUAUUGUCUGUCUCUGUCAAUGGUAUAAUGGCAUUGAAUGUUUGCCAUAUAUGUACCUGUAAUCUGCUCUCAGUACCCUCGGGGAGAUAGAGUGGAAUAUAAAUAAAGUGUAUUAUUAUAUUAUUAA